UCUGCAGACUUAUGGAAAUAUGUUGCUGCAGCUGUUGGUUCAGUUCUGCUGAUAAUAAUUAUUGCUGCAGCAAUCAGAUGGAGAAAGAUUGAAGGAAACAAAACACAAAUGAAUAAAAACACAAAGUUGGUCCCUGCAGGGUCUCAGGCUGCAGGAGGAUCCAGUCACAACUUGGAUGAUCCUGAAGGUGGUGUCACCUACGCCUCCAUCAGCUACACCAAGAAGACCAACAGGAACAACAAAGUCAUUGAUCAUGAAGAUGAUGAUGGCUCAGUGGCCUACAGCACAGUGAAACCUUCAUCCUGAGAUGAUCCCAAUAAACUCUUUGCUGCCAUCAACAAACCAAAACACUGAGACAUUUUGUGACUCUACUGUUGGUGACAGUUAUGGUUAAUUCAAACAAGUAAGAAUUCAGAUUACACAUAAUCCCAAAUUAAAUUCAAAUAAUUUUGGUCAUACAUUUUAACAUAAAUUUAACAUUUUACUUUGAUAAUUGUUGUUUUUCUCUUUGAGACCAGAAGAGGGCGCUGUAAGACAAAGAUCACACAAUAUAUUUUAAUCUUUAGUAAAAGAAUAACAAAAUGAGAAAUGUUUAGGAAUUGAAAGUAUGUCGGAUUAUUGAAUACGACUUCACGUUGUGCACAAGUUGAGAAGUUUUUGUUAUUCAUUCAACUCUCUUUUAAUCUAUUUAGUAAUUCAUUUUUUCCUUGUGUUAUUUGUCUCGUUUUAAAAUAGUUUGGCUCAGUUUUUGCUGAGCCAGACAGAUUUAUUUGGUUAUUUGAUUCUCUUUACUGUAAUUUAUUGUGUUAUUUUUGCUUUUUAAAUUGAUUUUCUAGAGAUUUUCUUUUCCAUUUUAAAUCAUUUAUUAGUGACUUGAUAACAACUUAAGGUAACAAUGUUUCCUCAUUGCAUUAUGAAACCGCAAUGAGGGAAAAUACAUCAUUGCCUGUUUAAAAAUCUACACUGUCCUGUGAUAAUCAAUAAUUUUUUCUGUUUGCACAUUUAAAAAAAAACACACACAAAAACAGCGUCACUACUGUCACCUACUGUCAGUUUAAAUGUACUACAUCCUUGCUUGAUUUAUUAACAUCAGUUCUAUUCAUUUAUUUUUAAGGUGUAUUUUCUAUCAUUUUGAAGUUAUUUUUUAUUUUAUUUAAAUGUUUUUUCUGUAUUUUUUCAGUU